UACGGAGGGUCCAAGCGUUGUCCGGAAUCACUGGGCGUAAAGGGUGUGCAGGUGGGGCAGCAAGUCAGAGGUGAAAGCCCGCGGCUUAACCGCGGAAGUGCCUUUGAAACUGCUGCUCUUGAGUCCCGGAGAGGUUGCCGGAAUUCGUGGUGUAGCGGUGAAAUGCGUAGAUAUCACGAGGAACACCAGAGGCGAAAGCGGGCAACUGGACGGGUACUGACACUGAGGCACGAAAGCGUGGGGAGCAAACAGG
rnacentral:ncRNA from 2 species